AGUAGCUAGCUAAGCUUAUGGGUUCAUACCUCAUACAUGGAACAAUCAACCCUUUUUUG
rnacentral:tRNA from 1 species